AGAGUUUGAUCCUGGCUCAGAUUGAACGCUGGCGGCAUGCUUUACACAUGCAAGUCGAACGGUAACGGGGGCUUCGGCCUGCCGACGAGUGGCGGACGGGUGAGUAAGACAUCGGAAUCUGUCUUCAAGUGGGGGACAACCCGGGGAAACCCGGGCUAAUACCGCAUAUACUCUUAGGAGGAAAGCUGGGGACCGCAAGGCCUGGUGCUUGAAGGGGAGCCGAUGCCCGAUUAGCUAGUUGGUAGGGUAACGGCCUACCAAGGCGACGAUCGGUAGCUGGUCUGAGAGGAUGGCCAGCCACACGGGGACUGAGACACGGCCCCGACUCCUACGGGAGGCAGCAGUGGGGAAUCUUGGACAAUGGGGGCAACCCUGAUCCAGCAAUGCCGCGUGGGUGAAGAAGGCCUUUGGGUUGUAAAGCCCUUUCGGCAGGGAAGAAGGCGUUGGAGCUGAACAGGCUUUGACGUUUGACGGUACCUGCAGAAGAAGCACCGGCUAACUACGUGCCAGCAGCCGCGGUAAUACGUAGGGUGCGAGCGUUAAUCGGAAUGACUGGGCGUAAAGGGUGCGCAGGCGGUUCUGCAAGUCUGAUGUGAAAGCCCCGGGCUUAACCUGGGAAUGGCAUUGGAAACUGUGGGACUAGAGUGUGGUAGAGGAAGGUGGAAUUCCUGGUGUAGCGGUGAAAUGCGUAGAUAUCAGGAGGAACACCGAUGGCGAAGGCAGCCUUCUGGGCCACAACUGACGCUGAGGCGCGAAAGCGUGGGGAGCAAACAGGAUUAGAUACCCUGGUAGUCCACGCCCUAAACGACGAAUGUUAGUCGUCGGGUAGCUAGUCUAUUCGGUGAUGCAGCUAACGCAUUAAACAUUCCGCCUGGGGAGUACGGUCGCAAGAUUAAAACUCAAAGGAAUAGACGGGGACCCGCACAAGUGGUGGAGCAUGUGGUUUAAUUCGAAGAUACGCGAAGAACCUUACCUAGCCUUGACAUAUUUUAGAACACUUUAGAGAUAGAGUGGUGCCUUCGGGAGCUAAUAUACAGGUGCUGCACGGCUGUCGUCAGCUCGUGUCGUGAGAUGUUGGGUUAAGUCCCGCAACGAGCGCAACCCUCGUCACUAGUUACUAACGGUUCGGCCGAGGACUCUAGUGAGACUGCCUUCGCAAGGAGGAGGAAGGUGAGGACGACGUCAAGUCAUCAUGGCCCUUACGGCUAGGGCAACACACGUGCUACAAUGGCCAGGACAAUGAGAAGCAAUACCGCGAGGUGGAGCAAAUCUAUAAACCUGGUCUCAGUUCGGAUUGUUCUCUGCAACUCGAGAGCAUGAAGCUGGAAUCACUAGUAAUCGUAGAUCAGCUAUGCUACGGUGAAUACGUUCCCGGGUCUUGUACUCACCGCCCGUCACACCAUGGGAGUUGAUUUCACCCGAAGCGGGGAAGCUAAACUGGCUACCCUCCACGGUGGAAUCAGCGACUGGGGUGAAGUCGAACAAGGUACC
rnacentral:rRNA from 1 species